AAAUACUGUAGACAUAAGUUUUCGUAUCUAACUUUAAUCAUUAUUUUUUAUGAUUAGUAUUUUUAUUGUUAUUAGCUGAUAAAGCAUUAAUAAUACUUUUAUGCAUGACUUAUGUUUUUAAUUGUUUUCAAAAUUUUUUGAAUAAGAUAAUGAUUAAAAUUUAACAUAGAAAUUAAUGACCGCACUUAAA
rfam:Oryza rufipogon genomic scaffold, chr07